UACGGAGGGAGCUAGCGUUGUUCGGAAUUACUGGGCGUAAAGCGCACGUAGGCGGCUUUGCAAGUUAGAGGUGAAAGCCCGGGGCUCAACUCCGGAACUGCCUUUAAGACUGCAUCGCUUGAAUCCAGGAGAGGUGAGUGGAAUUCCGAGUGUAGAGGUGAAAUUCGUAGAUAUUCGGAAGAACACCAGUGGCGAAGGCGGCUCACUGGACUGGUAUUGACGCUGAGGUGCGAAAGCGUGGGGAGCAAACAGG
rnacentral:rRNA from 1 species